rnacentral:rRNA from 1 species
GAGACAUAACUGAGUCCCGGACCUUGUUAAACCAUUUGGGAAAAAUUCCGUGCCCAUAUUCCCCGCUUUAAGGAACCCGCCUGGGGAGUACGGCCGCAAGGCUAAAACUCAAAGGAUUUUCCCGGGCCCCGCACAAGCGGGGGAGCAUGCGGAUUAAUUCGAUGCAACGCGAAAAACCUUACCUGGGUUUGACAUGGAUCGGGAGUGCUCAGAGAUGGGUGUGCCUCUUUUGGGGUCGGUUCACAGGUGGUGCAUGGCUGUCGUCAGCUCGUGUCGUGAGAUGUUGGGAUAAGUCCCGCAACGAGCGCAACCCUUGUUCAUUGUUGCCAGCACGUUAUGGGGGGGACUCAGUGGAGAUUGCCGGGGACAACUCGGAGGAAGGUGGGGAUGACUCAAGUCAUCAUGCCCCUUAUGUCCAGGGCUUCACGCAUGCUACAAUGGCUGGUACAGAGAGUGGCGAGCCUGUGAGGGUGAGCGAAUCUCGGAAAGCCGGUCUCAGUUCGGAUUGGGGUCUGCAACUCGACCUCAUGAAGUCGGAGUCGCUAGUAAUCACAGAUCAGCAACGCUGCGAAGAAUACGUUCCCGGGCCUUGAAAACACAAA